CAAUCCUCCAGGUAGACAGAAAAGUUCUCCAAGUCCCUACCCGUCCCAGAAGCCCAGCCGGCUUCACCUCUCACUGGCACUCACCUGUGGCGCCUAGCCCGGGCACUCCAGCAGCCCAGUGGGAGCUCCUCCCCCAAUCAAGCCCAGCAGCUGCUGGCCAGCCACGCCCAGUGUGGGGACGCCAAGCCCCCGCCCACCCGGAACUCUUGACGGCCUGCGAGCGCCACCAGAAGCCCCGGCUCCCACAGGCGCCUCUCGCUCCACACCUCCAUGCAAGCAGAGGGAGCCGGCUCCAGCCUCGGCCAGCCCCAGAGAGGGGCCCCCACAGUGCAGUGGCGGCCAGAGCGGAUGCCGAGGCCCAGGAGAGGCCGAGAGUGAGCCAGGGCUGCUAGCACGUUGUCACCUCUCACUAGUAAGUACCGAUAAUCAGGUUUCCCACUCUCCGCCAGGAAAUCUCCUAAAAUCAACUUAGAUCAAGUUUGGAGAAUGAGCCUACCAAUUUUUUUCCAGUGUAGCAAGAAAGAUCACAAACAGAAUAGCAAUGACUACUAAUGCUGUCUCUGGCCCUUUGCAGACACCAGAAGAGGUGGAGAUGGUCCAUAUUUACAACAUUUGUUGCAGACAAUGAGACAAAUGUAGUCCAUACUCCACAAAUUGCCAGAAGUAAUGUUAUUUGACCCAACAGGAGGGAGAAAGCGGAAUUUGUGUGGAGAGUAAGAUGCUGAUGUUUGGAUGUGCAGAGAAGAGUUUCCAUAUAGCAGGAAAAGCCCUUUUUCCUUUCUCUCCAGCUUGUAAGGAAGAGUCUAGAUAUUCCCACAUAGCACUAAGUUCUUCUAAGGGACAAUACUGGAAAAAGAAGAAAUCACAAGCUGGGGAAAAAGAUAUACCAGAGUUUAGUUUUGAGAAGGGAUGCAGUGCUUGAGAGAAGAAGCUAUCAUCCACAUGAACCAUGAGGUUUGUAUGAUUCUCUUUGACAAGGUGAAUACACUGUCCAUUUUUACAAUUAAAAUGGAUGACGUUAAAAGUCAAAAGCAGAAGGACAUGAGGACUCUAAAUUGAACCAAAAAGCAUUUAGAGCCUUGGUUUAGUAGCUACAUUGGGUAAGUCUGUAGAAUUUCAAAAUCUCAUUAGAAUUGCUACUACAUGAUAGAAUUCACUUG
ensembl:lincRNA